GAGCACUAUGUAGAGGGCGGUUCGUUUCCGGGGUUUCGUUGAGGUUUUGCUGUAUACGGCACCGGACUGGCCCAACGGCUGCCAGCGACGACGGCAGGUUCCACAAUCCUCGUGUGCAAGCGCUAGUGGAUGACAUUGUGAAUCAAAGCAAGGCGUUUCCGCUUACAGAUAACGUGUUGGGAUAGGAUGUCUAGCAGAUAUAAUGUCAUCGAAGGGAAGUCCAUGUGUCUCUUGCAGGGGCGAGUUACUUUGUUUCCAAAGGACGGCGAUUCCAACGCGAUGUAUUCCGGUUCUUUGAGCAAAGACAGGAGAACGGCAGAUAUGUUGUUUAUACGAACCAGGUCUACCCCACUGAGGGACGAGUGAAGACUAAAUUGUGGUCAACACUCUCGUUAGCCGUGUGUAUCCCAUGAUCUCAUGUGACAAUCUUUGAGCCCCUUCAUGGCUGGGAAACUCCACUGGGUCAGUGCUGCCGAAUUCCAGCAGUAUUGGCUUUAAUUUCAGGCCACCGGUAAGAAUUACGACAGAGGCAACGAAAGAAAUGGCCUGGUGGACCUCGUCACAUAUCGUGAACCAGUGAUUGAAAUCUACGCCCACCGUCCACAGAAUAGGGGCAGCACCCCCCUUACUUUUUGCACGACGGGACCGUACAUUAUCUACCUGAAGAACAUGCCAGAUCUCCUCUGUUAAUUUGGUUUCAAAGCGACACGUCCUAAAGGUCUAACCUUGGCUUGACUCUCCAGUUUGACCAACAAAAAACUACUCAUUUACGACAUUAACUCUCCGGCUGCGAUGCGGCACGAUAUCCCUAUAGAAAGUCCUCAGCCCGGCGCGACAUCUGACAAACGGCUGUUUGUGUGUAAGCAUCGCUGUUGUGGCAAAUAAAGGCAUUUGUUCGAGAAUACCCGCAGAGAGCAAACGGAAACCUGUUGAUGUCCUCAAUCGAGGGUUACUGAGAGGCCCCGGUCAUUACUGUUGGGAUUUCGGCAUGAACUCUCUCAACUUGUGGACGACCCGUCAGUAGCAAAACACAGUCUCAUUGUGGAUGCCUUGCAACAGGAGAUCGGCGCUGUUUAAAGUCCUGUGUAUUGUGGGCAUCCGUCUCAGUCUCUUUCACUUCUCGUCCCAGUUUACCGUGUAAUCUUGAAGGGAUGAUGCAUGGAUAUAUUUUGUUGAAGGCCCGCAACAUAUGUCUGAAGACCUCCCCAAAGAAGCCACGCAUGCAUUAAAAGGGUAUUCGCUG
rnacentral:lncRNA from 1 species